UAAAAUAAAAAUGUUUUAUAAUGAUUUUUUUUUGUUUUUGUUUUUUCCCCUUCUUAAUAGAUAAGAGGCAUGUUAUGUAUGUUUUAGUUGAGAUUAUUGUUAGUUUAUGAUGUUUAGCAUCAUAUUUUUUGUUUUCGAUUGUACUUUUGGUUGCUAGAUUUAGAUUCUCUUGCAGAUGGAUAUGGUUGUAAUUUAUUCUUGUGUAAUACAUAUAGUGUUGAGAUACCACCUAUUUCUGGUCGUACUGUCUCAACUUUAUUUUAUGUCACUCUUUUUUUUAGGUUAUUUACAAAAUGAUGCUUUCAUAUAUUUGAAAACUAGUCAACUCAUUUUUUAUUUAUUUUUAUGGUAUACUUAUAAUUAUAAAAAUAUCAUGACAUAUUUAAUACUGUAAAUUCUACCGCUACUUUUAGCAUAUGCCCAAGUCUUUCUUUUUACAAAAUUAUAUCCAGUCAAAUAGCACCAAAAUAAAAUGACAAAAAAAUAGUAUAUUUAGUAUUUAUUUCAAUCAAAUACCACCAUAUACUGGCACGAAACUGAAGCAACAAUCAAUUCAAACUUGGUAUAACAAGUGGCAAACUUGACAAGGCUGUUUCAAGAACAAGUGGAAGAACAUGUGGCUCUUUAAUAUUAUUGCUUGUUUAGUGAAUUAAAAAAAAAGAUUUUAGUUUUCAAAAAGCAAACGAAAAUAUUUUCCUAAAUUAACAAAAUAGACAAAGGUAGUUUUCACAAAAGUUAACACAAAGGUUCUAGUGUUUGGUUGGUUCUGGAUUUGGUUUUCAAAGUUGGGGAAACAGCCAAAACCUAUUUGAGGUUGGUUUUUAUCUGUAACAAUUACGAGGCUUUUUCAAUAUUUAGGUGAUCUAUCUACCAAUAUUUGCGAUAUUAGUCCUUUACAAAGCACCAAAAUAUUAUGAGGUUCCCUUCCCAUUCUGUGGAGGUACGGUAAGAUAAAUAAGCCAAUGCUUUAGAGAACUUAUGGAUAGGAGAAUGAGCACCAACUAAAAUCAUUACUUUACUUCAAGGAAAAGCUUGUUUAGGUAUCUACAUUUUAUUGGAUUUAAAUCCCUAAGAGUUUGAAUUAUAUUCUUUAAUUUAAGACAUGUUAUUUUAAAUAAAUAUUAUAAGCUAACACAAUUGGAUUAUUCAUUCAAAUCCAAUUAAAUGGAGUUACGUAAAGGAAUUUUUACAUUCCUAUGCCAUAUAGUAAAUUAUAUUACCUUCUAUGCUUAACUUUUAAUAUAAUUACCUUCUAUAUACCUAAUUACCAUUUAUGUACCAUUUUAGGAUUUUAAUGGUAUUAAUUAGUCUCCUAAUUUUACUCAACCAUAUAUUCCCACUCCCCCCAAGUUUCUCUCUCCAAAUCCCCAUGAUUUCCUCUUCAAACACCCAUGUUUUCCUCUUCUAAAACCAGCGAAAAUCUGUAACCCCUCCACCAUUGACAACCAUUAAAAAGCUUUGAAGCUUUGAAUUCGAAUUUGGGUUUUCAAAAGACAUUGUUUGUUUGGAUUGGAUGUUGUUGCAAAGAAUUGAGAAUUCUCUCUACGUCUCUCUCUUUCUGUCUCCAUCUCUCAAUUCCAAAUUUCAGUAAUAUAAGAGGAAAGGAAAAGAGAGCAGCAAUUCCACCAUUGACAGCCACUAAAAAGCUUUGAAGCUUUGAAUUCAAAUUUGGGUUUUCAAAAUCAUUAUUUGUUUGGAUUGAGUGUUGUUGUAAAUAAUUGGAAAUAUGGUUUGGAGUUUAUAUCUCAAUUUUGAGGGGUUUUGAUGAAGAUUAGACUUGGUUUUGGCUGAUUUUCAGAUUGAAAUUCGAAGAUGAAGAAGAAGAAGAAGAAGAAGAAGAAGAAGAAGAAGAAGAAGAAGAAGUUGCUUGAUAUGCCAACAUCUCCCGUUAUAGAGGAAUACAACUUAUCUAUAAUUUUCUACAACUUUCAUAUAUUAUUUUCACCCAGUGAAAUACAACUACAAUAACAUAAAACUUACAUAUAAAUUUUAUACAAAAUUUAUACAAUAUGUCUUUUGUAUAUUUUGUAUCUGAUUUAUACAUAGUAAAAAUAAUUUUCACACAACUAAUUAUAUAUUAUACAACUUAUCUAUAAAUUAUCUACAAUUUCCGUACAUUAUUUAUACUAAGUUAUAUACAACUACAAUAUAAUACCACUUAAAUAUAAUUUUUAUACAAUGUUGUUCAACUUUCAUACAAUAUGUAAAUGAAUAAAAGAAAAAUAAAUAAACAACAGUCUACAAUUUUUCUAUAAUUUCUGCAAUAUAAUGUAUGUCAUGUCAUGUCAUGUCAUGUCUUCUUCUUCUUCUUCUUCUUCUUCUUCUUCUUCUUCUUCUUCUUCUUCUUCUUCUUCUUCUUCUUCUUCGAGUUUCAAUCCGAAAUUUAGCCAAAACCAAGUCUAAUUAAUCUUCACCAAAACCCCUCAAAAGUGAGAUAAAAUCCAAAUCAUAUUCCCAAUUAUUUUCAACAACACCCAAUCCAAACAAAUAAUGAUUUUUGAAAACCCAAAUUUGAAUUCAAAGCUUCAAAGGUUUUUAAUGGUGGAAUUGCUGCUUUCUUUUCCUUUGCUUUAUAUUACUGAAAUUUGGACAUAAUUGCGUUUGUUGCAGAAGAAUUGUAGAAGAUUUAGUCGUUUUUGAUUUAUGAAAUCAGAAAAAAGGUUGAAACAGAGUGUAUCACAAAAACAAAGUAUGGAAAAUUUGAAACGAAUUCGUCGAUAAUUAUGAAUGUGCGUGAUUUGCGUUGUAGAAGAUCUGGAAAAAUAUUUAAUUCCCCAAUUUUAGCGCGCCUAAAUAAGAAAUCCUACAGCUACAACGAUUCCUUAUUUAAUGCAUUGUCUAUAUUUUGUAGAAAUGUUGUUAGCAUGAACGGUAAUAUGAAAACUAUGAACAUAUUUGGUAAUAUAGUUUCCUAUAUGGUAUAGGAACGAAAAUUUCCCUUACGUAAAAUCUAAUUUUAUUGGGCUAAUUCAGUUAGUUGAGUUUUUAUUAGAUGAGCCCAUCCAUGGGCUUCCAUCCCAAGGGCUUAUUAACUACCCCAUCAAACACAAACGUAGCAUUUUUAAGGGAAACUUACACAAAUGUCCCAAAUAAAUCUUAACUUACCAACCUCUAGCCAUUAAUCAUACACUUACCAAAACUAGCCAAUCACAUAUAAAAGUUGAAAAAUCAAAUAAGUAAGGUUCUUUCUCUCAAAGAUCACAUGCAUAAUUCUCCUUCCAUAUUUUUAAGCGUGAUUAGCAACAUUAGAUGCAAGAUGGAAAGGAAUUUCAUGGAUUAGGUGGCAAAUAAAGUGAUGAAAUACAAAAGAAAUAUACAAUAUUUCAAAAAUCUAAGCAAAAAAGGAACUUUUUAAUGGGUAUAGUUGAAANNNNNNNNNNNNNNNNNNNNNNNNNNNNNNNNNNNNNNNNNNNNNNNNNNNNNNNNNNNNNNNNNNNNNNNNNNNNNNNNNNNNNNNNNNNNNNNNNNNNNNNNNNNNNNNNNNNNNNNNNNNNNNNNNNNNNNNNNNNNNNNNNNNNNNNNNNNNNNNNNNNNNNNNNNNNNNNNNNNNNNNNNNNNNNNNNNNNNNNNNNNNNNNNNNNNNNNNNNNNNNNNNNNNNNCGUAACUAAAUUGAGUUCAAAAAAUUCUUCUGCGACACAUGUAUCAAACAUGUAUCACACAUGUAUCUCACACACAGAUAUACAUAUGAUACACAAUUGAUACAACUAUGAUACAUAUAUGAUACACAAAUGAUACACAGUGUGAUACACGUAUCAUUUUUUUUUCAUGUUCAGUUUUUACUUCGAAUUUUUAAUUCAAACUACCUCAAAACUUCACCAAAUCAUCCCAAAACUGAGAUGCAAGCUCCUUAAGAUGUACCCAAUCUAUUCUAAUAACACUCACCCAAACGAAAAUAAAAAAUUGACCUUUUUUGUUACAAAUAGCUAAUUGGCUAAUAUUAGUAAUAGUUGGCUAAUAUUGGUAAUAUUUUAUGAAUUGGCCAAUUUUUGUAAUGAUAUACUUAUAAAUGGACAUAGAUGAUAGUUUCCCCAUUUUUAACAUGGAGCUAAAGAGGGUACCUCCUAUUUUUUUAUGCACUGUUUACCCGUAAAAUGGUAUAGUUGAAUUUAUAACGUGGUUUAGAGACAAGCGAAUCAAUUGUAUCCCAAAAUGAUAAAUAAAUUAAAUGAAAUACAAGACUUAGCAUUGAAAUCGAGAUAAGACAACAAAUAACUUGGUUCCGGGAGCAAGGCUUCCGAAGACAAAAAUAAGAAUAAUUAAUUAAAAAAAAGUAUUAUUGAGCUUAAAAUAAUGUGUAGCAUAAGUUUGUCUGAAUUUUCAUGUCCUACAAUGGUUGUUGAAGUCACUAAUUAUAGCUACACCUAGGGAGCAAGGUCCUAGCCCCUCUUAAAUGACAAUUAUGGGGGCCAUUGAUGAAUGUAUAACGACAUGCUAUGAAUGCCAAAAUUCUAUGUAACGGAUUGUGUAUUUAAUAUUGAGGAAUAAUCUUCAUUGAAUAUCAUGGGGUGGCAAAUAUUCGUUUAUCCUCGUUAGCAAUAUUCCUUUCGGGGUCUGCCCGAUGCCAAUCGAAGCUACUGUUCCCAGUCUUGGUUUUCACUUGCUUCAUCUUCCGUGUGUCCCCAUUUCCACGUGUCGCUCUAUUAUUCAAAUAUUUAAUAUGAACCGAUGCCUAUAUAGAUAGUCCCCCUGCUUUUCGGUGGCACAUUUUUGUGUUAUCGGGAAGUUGGUAAAGAUUCCUUUCUUGACGAGAAAUUUCUUAUCCCUUCUGAAAAGUUUAUGGCGCUUGAUUAGAUGUACAUCUCUCCGCAUUUAAUACCUCGAACAUGCGUCACUCCACGUUUUAGUAAUAUUUUUGCCGGUUCUCGAGGUAAUUAUGGCCAUGAUUUUAGCCGCCUAUUCCUUUACUUAUAUGCCUCAUUCUUCUUCUUUUACACUUCACAGUUCUUCAAACUCUCUCAACUUCUUUUCAUUCAACUCUUUCUUGCUUUCACUCUUCUUUAAUCUUCUUCUUCAAAGAACUAUUAUUACUUUCUGAUGACCAUGGCUUCCUCUUCUAAGAACUCAAGUUCUUUUUAAAACAAAGAAAACACCGUUAAUGCUGACCCUCCUACGGGGAUCACUAUCAUUCCCAGAAGACUCAACACAACCAAGGACUUCAAAGAGACGCACAUCUCUCUACAUUUAAUACCCCAAACACGCAUCACUCCAUGAUUUAGUAAUAUUUUCCCCGGUUCUCGAGGUAAUCAUGGACAUGAUUUUAGCCGCCUAUUUCUUUACUUAUACACCUCAUUCUUAUUCUUUUACACUUCACAAUUCUUCAAACUCUCUCACCUCCUUUGCAUUCAACUCUUACUUUCUUUUACUGUUCUUUAAUCUUCUUCUUCAAAGAACUCUUAUUACCUUCUGUUGACCAUGGCUUCCUUUUCUAAGAACUAAGUUCUUUUAAAAACAAAGAAAACAUUGUUAAUGCUAACCCUCCUACGAGGAGCACUAUCAUUCCCAGAAGACUCAACACAACCAAGGACUUCAAAGAGAAGUUUCCUUCUACAAGUUCUCGUACAUGGGCUGUUGGCGUGUAUCCUUCUUCCAUCCGUCCUUCUAGCAUUCAUGCUGUGAUAGGAGGAUUGUCAUUGCCAUGAUCUGAACAUCAUCGCUCCCGAACUGGUGGAGCGAGUAACCUUCCCUAAGAAAGGUUUUAUGUACGCUUAUACGUACCUAUUUACUUUGGGUGUGUUUUCUUUGAGCAUGCAAAUUGGUCCCAUGAUUUUGGAGUAGUGCCACAAAUAUCAGAUUUGUUUGGCACAUCUGGGCCUUUCGGUGUGGUGAACGAUAGCUUGUCUACAGUGGCUAUGUCAAGAGAUGAAGGAAGAGCUCACAUUGUCUCGCAUGACGAAUCUAUACUCCUCCAAGAUUUUUCGUGGGGGAGUAAUAAAUUUUAGCAAAUGUGGCCAUCAUGAUUUGCUCACCAGCAUGGAUGAUGACAACGACCGUGGAUGGAUGGAGCAAUUUGUUUUUGUUGCCCUAGGGAUAUCAUCCCGGCCACAACUCUAUCUUUCCCGAACUCCUGGACUCGUACAUGUAAGUUAAAAGCCUAGUUUUUCUCUGAAAAAGGUUAUUUCAUGUUAUUACUGAUCCUUCUCUUUUCAUUAUUUAGCAACUCGAUGGAAACUACCAAGGGUUGAAGGCUUGGACUAGUAGGUUCAGAAAAUUCUAGAUAUUAUCAUGCCUGAGACCCACCGGUGGAAAGAACUAGCCCUAAAAUACGGGUGGAAGGCCAAAAAUCAUGGUAAGUUGACUCGUGAAACUGAUAUUGUCUUCAUCCCAUCUUUUUUUUGUAUAGGAAAAUUGGUUAACUUCUUUUUUUCAAUGAAUUUAGGUCUUCCACAGGGCUCUGUUACCAUCCUAGAGGAGGAUGUUUUGGCUGUUCCCACAGAAGCUGCGAGGUUGCUGAAGGAGGCCUUCACCCGAACAUGCACCAUUAGAUCCGAUUCCGGUGCAAAUGCUUCCUCUUGGUGGUUCCGGCCAGAGAGCAAGCAACAAAAAUACGAUGCUCUUCCUCGGCCGAGGGAAAAAAUAAAAAGGCAAAGAAAGUCGCUCCCGAGCCAGCCCUAGUCAAUGUGGUGAUUGAUGAUGACGAGCAAGCCAGUGAUGAAGGGGCUUCUCUACAAAGGAGACAACGACCUUCAUCGGCUCAACAAAAUGCUCAAUAUGAAGAGCUUAUAACCCUAACCGAGGACGAUGCCCAAGCGCUCUAUGGAGAGUAUGACCUAGUGGAGAAUGCCAAUUCUCCCUUUCUAGUCUCAGUUUCUGCUCCCAGUACUAUGAGGCUAAGUACCGGGCCUCUUCCAUCUUCAGUUGGUGUGCAACCUACAACCAACACUGCCUUUGGACAACUGCUUCUCAACCCACAAUGCCAUUAGCUUCAUCUCCUUCCAUGUCGGUCAUUCCUUCGUCACCAACAACUGCUACAUCACCCCCACCAGCCGCUGCCACUCGAAAGGAGGAUGUCAUUCCUCCCUAGUCCCUGGAUCAUGGGAAUUUGGGGCACAACUAUUCGCCCCAUCUACUGAUCCCCAGAGGAGGAGGAGUGUCUCCGUCUUUUUUUUUACCGAGUGCCAUCUGCUGUCCCAGAUGGUGAAACUCGCCAAUUACCUAAAGCCGCUAGCUUUAGAGAAAGACAAGAAGAAAAUACACUCUCUUUUAGGGGAGUGUAUGAUAAAUAAUGCCAUGCACAACGCAACAACGGUAUGGUUAUCGUUCUCUUUACUGUCUGUUUUCUCUUGAUUUGUUAUGACAAGAUUUUUAACUUGGGCUUUUGCUUCGCAUGCCAACUUCCAUGCUUCCGAGGCCUUCAGAAGUUGAUCUGAUAAAGAAAAGCUUACAUCCGAGUGGGAUUAAUUGUGGCCGAGAGGGACCAAGUUGCUGCUCGCCUUCCGGUACUGGAAGCAUAAGUUGCUGAAGCCGGUGAGUUGUAGGCUCGAUUUCAGCAGAGUGAGCAGGAAGUAAUGGCUCUCAGCCAAGAAGCCUCCUAGUUAAAUGUAUAGUUUCAAUAAGCCAAGGCAAAAUGGUUUGAGAUCCAGAAUGCUGUACUUGAUGCUACCGAGUGCGAGGCUGCCUCCACUGAGAGAUUGAAUAACUUGGAGGUAACCUUGAACUCUACAGCUGAAGAGGUUGCUGCUGCUGAGGAGAAGUGUGCCCAGAUGGAGGAUAAGUAUAAGAGGGUAAUGGUACAUAAUAAGGUUCACAUAAACACUAUCCAUAAACUUGAUCUCAACCUUAGGGCCACGAGAUCCGAGCAGGAUAGUCUUUCGACCGAGGUUGAUUGGUUUAAAUCAGAAAUCCAGUGUCGAGCGAAUUCCCUCACUAUUGAGAAAACACAUUCUAUGUACAUCAGGAGGAGAAAAAUCUUGGAAGAGGACAAAGCGAGCGUUAUUAAUUUUGAUGCCGAGAUCGCCAAGGCCCGAGAGCUGGAGUCAACUACUCGAAGGCACCUCCCAGCUCGGCCUAAUGCAAAUGACUCUUUUGGUUUUGGUUCUGAGUUCUCAAGAACUGAGGAGGAACUUGAAGAGGAUAAUGAUGAAGGCCAAGACCCCGAGCCGGCAGCAUAUCCACCUACUUCUCCUGGUGGCGCAGAUGCUUCUCUUUUCCCGAGUUCUGGGGAUGCAGUAGUUUAGUUUUUUCUUUCUUUUUCCUUUGUUGUUUUCUUUUCAUACUUUUAUACUUGUGCUACUUGAAACAUUUAAUAUAUAAAAGUACUUUUCGUUUAAGCAUUAUGUAAAGUUUAAUUUUUUUUCCAUCGAAUUGUGCAGGGCUUCGGGUGCAUUUUUUCCCUGAUAACAUUUGGGUUCCGGGCAUAAACUCUUUCGGAACCAACCCUUUACUGUGAGGAUUUCAUAAAAGAGGGCCCUCUUAUAUUUAUGGUGCUCUUGAAGAGGACGUCUCCUGUCCAUUUAGGCACUAGCAUUUGAAGUACUUGAUUAACUUUUAAAUGAUAAAAAUAGUUCAUCAUUUAGACAAGAAACAAGAUAAAAAUAAAAUGACUUUAUUUUAUUCCUUCUGUCUCCAAAAGUACAUGAGCAUUCGUUUUGCUGAAAAUGAAAUUGCCAUUACUUGUGAUAAAUUUGUACAACUUGUUUCUACAGGACUGGCUGGUGCAGUCCCCAGUACCGAAGAGACAUUUUUGUUCCCGGAUUUCAUAGUCCCGGUUUUUGUGGCAAUCAAGCUGCAAUAUUCUCAUAUCAUUCCCCCCAGUGUUCCAAUGCGAAUAAUGCAAAUUAGAACACUGGAAGUUUUGCUCUUUUGAGCAUUCCACUAGUGAAUGGUUGGAUAAUCUUUGGUCUGAUAGCAAGCUUUGUUUCCCGUUAGGAACUUUGCUACCGAGCCAAAUAUUAUCUAACCAACCCUAGUGGCUUGUAGGGAAGGAGCACUCAUGAACAGGCAAAUAACCUUUGGUUCGAUAGCAAGCUUUGUUUCCCGUUAGGAACUUUGAUAUUGAGCCAAAAACUAUCUAACCAUCCCGCAGUGGUUUGUCGUUUCCAUGCCUUGUCAUUUAUAGGUCUUAUUUCUACUAAUGGCAUUUCUUUCGUGGUAUGCUUUUCAUUGUUGCCUCGUUAAAAAACCUUGCUAGAAAAACCCAAUUGGGACAAAAACUAGAUGAAGAAAAAAGGAGUGCAGUACAUACUUUCAGUAUAACCGGUGUUCAUCAGCAAUAAUACCUUUUGAGGUGUGCCACAUUUCAGUUGAUCGGCAAUUUUAUUCUAUCUUUAUUUUCUAGUUCAUAUGAUCCUUUCCCGAUGAAAGCUGAACCUGGUAGGGGCCUUCCUACGUUGGACCUAGCUUCCCUGCGUUGAGCUCUCAUGUGUUUUGAGUCACUUUCCUUAAGACCAAGUCUUCCACUUUGAAACAAUGGAUAUUGGCUCUUUGAUUAUAGUAUCUUUCUAUUUUUUAUUUCCGGUCCACCAUCAUUAUGUGCGCCACGUCCCUGCGUUCGUCAAGCAGCUCCAAUUUGACUAGCUACGCUUCGUUAUUUAUUUCUUCGUCCACUCGGAAGUAUCUCAUGGUAGGUUCUCCCACAUCCACGGGGAUCAGGGCUUCUGCUCCGUAUACGAGAGAGAAAGGUGUCUCUCCCAUGCUAGACUUGGCUGUUGUUUGGUAUGCCCAUAGAACUCUCGGUAACUCUUCGAGCCAUUUGCUUUUGGCUGCUUCCAAUCUCUUUUUGAGGUUUUGAGUAAUCACCUUAUUUUUCGACUCCGCAUUUGCGCUCGGAUGGUAUUGUGAAGAUGUGAUUCUUUUGAGUUUCAAAUCCUCAAGGAAUUUUGUGAUGUUUGCGCCUAUGAACUAUGGCCCGUUGUCGCGAGCUAUCUCAUUUGGUAUUCUGAACCUGCAAAUUAUGUUCUCCCAUAGGAAAUCGACUACUUCGCGCUCGCCAAUUUUCUAAUAAGAACCUGAUUCAAUUAACUUAGAGAAGUAAUUAGUUAAAAUCAAAAGGAACCUUACCUUGCUUGGAGCCAGUGACAGUGGACCGACCAUAUCCAUCCCCCAUUUCAUGAAUGGGCACAGAGAUAAUAUCGAGUACAGUAUCUCUGUCGGUUGGUGCACUAGUGGCGCAUGGCGUUAACACUUGUUGUAUUUCUAAACGAAUGCCUUAACAACUUGUUCCAUCCGAGGCUAAUAGUAUCCUGCCCUAACUAAUUUUAACAUCAAUGAAUCUGCGCCUGAAUAAUUUCCACAGAUUCCUUCGUGAACCUCUCUCAUGAUGUAAUUAGCCUCGAAUGCUCCUAAACAUCGGGCCAACGGGCCUUGGAAUAUCUUUCUGUAUAACUGUCCUCCCCAGAAGCUAUAAUGAGCUGCCUUAGUGCGGAGUGCCCGGGAUGCCUUCAGAUCUUUGGGAAGUUUGACGUGCUCAAGAUAGUCGAUGAUUUCAUUUCUCUAGUCCUCUACGAAGUUGGUCGCAAUUACUUCAAAAUAACCAUCCACGUCCAAUAUCGAAUGCAUGAGCUAUAUGACCGUAUCGGAAUCUGAUCCCUUCCUUUUCGUAGACAAGCCCAGAUUGGCCAGUGCGUCUACUUCUGCAUUUUCUUCUCUUGAGAUGUGGGUGAUUGACCAUUCCUGAACCAUGCAAUCAAAUUCUAAACUUUCGCCAUAUAUUGUUGCAUACCUUCCUCUUUGCUGUCGAAGAUCCCGUAUACCUGAUUUACCACUAUUUAGGAAUCACAUUUGAUUUCAAUGACCUCGGAGUUUAGUCCCUGAGCCAGUUCAAGUCCUGCAAUUAAAGCCCCAUACUCGGUUUCAUUGUUACUUAAGGGACAAUUUUUAUGGCCUGCCUCAUGGUUUCUCCUAAGGGAAUAAUUAGUACUACCCUGAUCUCGGACCCUUUCACGUUGGAAGCUUCGUCCAUGAACAAGGUCCAGACUCCUGUUGUCAUUUCUGACACUAUGUCGCUUCUUUGGUGGCCAAAGGCAGUAGCCUGGGACUGAAAUCAGCCAUGAAGUCGGCCAUAACUUGCGAUUUGAUCGCAAUCCUCUGUUUAUACUCGAUGUCAAAUUCAAUAAUUUUGACUGCCCACUUGGCCAGUCGACCUAAAAAUUCAGGUUUGUGAAGGAUAUUCUGCAGGGGAAAAGUUGUCACCACGGCUAUUAGGUGGCAUUAAAAAUAAGGCCUAAGCUUUCGAGAGGCGACUACGAGAGCUAAGGCCAAUUUUUCGAGGUGCGUGUAGCGAGUUUUCACUCCCGUUAAAAUUUGCUAACGUAAUAGAUAGGAUAUUGUGUACCUUCAUCUUCCCGAACUAGAACGACACUUACCGCUACCUCAAAGACCGCUAAGUAAAUUAGUAACUGUCCUCCUUCCUCCGAUUUUGAUAGUAACAAAGAGCUUGAUAAACACAUUUUCAGGUCUUUGAAGCCUGUUGGCAUUCCGGAGUCCAUUCAAAGUUGUUGUUGUUCUUCUUCAGAAGUGAGAAGAAAUGAUGGCAUUUUCUCGAACCAGGAAAUGAACCUACUUAGAGUGGUCAGUCUUCUAGUUAACCUUUGGACUUCUUUCACAUUUGUCAGCUGGUUGGGAAUGUCCUCGAUGGAUUUAAUUUUAUUAGGGUUGACUUCAAUCUCCCUUUCAACACCAGGAAAUCCAAAUAUUUACCGAAGCUGACUUCGAAUGCACACGUUUCAGGGGUUAAGCUUCAUGUUGUAUUUCCUUAGGAUGUCAAAGGUUUCUUGAAGGUGUUUCAGAUGGUCACCUGCGUUCAAAGACUUAACUAUCAUAUCAUCUAUGUAAACUUCCAUUGUUUUCCCUAUUUGCUUUUCGAACAUUUUGUUCACGAACCUCUGAUAAGUGGCUCCGACAUUUUUAAAUCCCGAAAGGCAUCACGUUGUAGCAAUAUGUGUUAAAGUUCAUUAUGAAUGAAGUCUUUUCCUAAUCCUCCGGGUUCAUUUUGAUUUGGUUGUACCCGAAAUAGGCAUCAAGAAAACUCAUCAACUCGUGCCCGACCAUCGCAUCAAUCAUUUGAUCAAUGUUUGGCAAUGGGAAUAAGUCUUUUAGGCAUGCACUAUUCAUAUCUUUAGAAUAUACGCACAUGUGAAAUUUAUUAUUCUUUUUUGGAACUACUAAUAUGUUAUCUAGCCAAUCGGGAUACUUUACUUCCCGGAUUGAACCGAUAUCAAGCAAUCGAGUCACCUCUUCUUUGAAAAACUUGUUUCUGACUUCACAAUCGGACACUAUUUUUGCCUUAAUGGAGGGAUGUUGGGGUCCAGUCUUAACUUGUGCACGACCACCUCUAGCGAAAUACCUGUCAUAUCUGCAUGUGACCGCGCAAAACAAUCAACAUUAAUUUUAAGAAAUUCUAUAAAUCCUGACCUGAGCUCGGGGUUUAAUCCUGUCCCCAAGUGGAAAUUCCUCUCUAAGAACUUCUCAAACAAUGCGACUUGUUCGAGAUCUUCUGCCAUGGAUUUGGUUGCGUCCAUUUCUUCCGGUACUUGAAAAUACCUUGGUACCUGAUAAGAUUCCGAUGGCUCCUCCCCUUUGAAACUUCAUUUGGUUUGGGAGCGGACGUCGGUCCCUGUAAUUGCUAUGCCACAUGUUCCUUCCCUUUACUGCUAGAAACCGAGAUCACGUUCAUCUCCCUUGUCGCUGGUUGAUCUCCUAUUAUUUAUUUAAUUCCCUCUAGAGUUGAGAAUUUCAGAAGUUGAUAGAACAACCUUCAUCUCAUGUAGACAUGGUCUGCCAAGAAUAAUGUUGUAGACCAUGUCACAAUCUACUACUUCAAACAAGGUAGUCUUCUUGACCCCUUCGGCAUUUGUGGGCAGCAGGAUCUCUCCUUGGGUUGUCACACUUGCUAAGUUGAACCCAACGAUGAGCUUUGUGGCCGGAAUGAUGCUUCCGGUUAGCUUGGCUUAUUCCAGCACUCUUCAUUGAAUGAUAUUAGCUUAACUUCCUGGGUCCACCAAAACACGUUCAAUUUUAAAAUCUAAAACAUUAAGAGAAAUUACCAGGCAUCGUUGUGUCAUAGUAGGAGUCCAUUCGCAUCCUCCUCUAUGAAUGUGAUAUCAUCCUCGGCGACUUCUCGGAGUCUUUUACUAUGAGUCACUGAUACCUUUGUCUUUUUUGUUGCUGAAAAGGUUACACCAUUAAUCUUGUUCCCCCAAAAAUCAUGUUGAUCAUUAGUCGAGGAGGAUCUUCUCCUAUCUUCGAGGGUUCUGCGUUAUCCCUGUUGUGACCUUAUUUAUUUUUAGCCCGGUCGCUUAAGAACUCUAUGAGAUGUCCAUUUUACAACAACAUCGCCACCUCAUCGUGUAGAUGUCGACAGUCCCCAGUCCGGUGGCCGUUAGUCUCAAGAUACUUACACUAUAGAUUAGGAUCCCUAUGACUUUAAUUAGAUCUCAUCAGCCUCGGGAACCGUGCUUCCUUAAUAUUCCUCAUCGAUAAUACCGGCUACACCAUGCUGACAUUAAAACUAUACUCGAACAGUUUGGGGUAGGCGGAAUCUCGGGAGCCUGAUAUCUCUUUGUCCUGCAAUGAUCUGUUAUUCUUGCUGCGAUCAGCUCUCCUAUUAGUAGCAAACCUUUUCGCCGACCAAAAACCUUUGCCGCGUCCUUCAACCCUUUUGUCAUGCAAAAACUGGCCUUAGAAGAUCGUUGAUCUGCGACAAAAUAAUCCUUCGACUUAUCCUUGUUCUUUUCCCGAUCCAUUGGUUGAUGCUGGGAAACCGAGCAAGUUAUCUGCUAUUCUUAUCUUUGAUUUGUAGAGGUUAUGGACAUUUGCCCAUGUAGUUGCCUGGAACUCAAGAAGGCUUUCUUUCAGUUUUCAAGAAGUGUCAAAGCUCCUCGGGUUCAACCCCUUACUAAAUGCCUCAACUGCCCAUUCAUCUAGCACGACCGGUAGUAGCAUCCUUUCCUUCUGAACCCUGGUCACGAACUUCUGCAGCAAUUUAGUCUCUUCUUGCACAAUUCUGAAUAUGUCGGCCUUUGGGGCCUGUACCUUCCUGGCCCCAGCAUGGGCCUUGAUGAAAGAAUCUGCAAGCAUCUCAAAAGAAUCUAUUGAGCACUCGGGUAAAAGUGAAUACCAUGUCAUGGCCCCUUCAUGAGGGUUUACCCGAACAUCUUCAGUAGGACUGACUCAAUCUCAUGUGGAAGAACCCGACAACACUCGCCUGAAUUAUGUGAUCGCAUGGAAUCGCUGUGAGAAAUGACCCAUGAUGUACUUUUCUUGUUCAAUGUGCUCAUCUUCGGCAUCAUCAAGAGUCGUCUCAUGUACUUGUCAUGGAUAUUGCCCGCUAUGGACCGAUGUGGCUACGUCCUCCUUGUUGCGGGUGUCACUAAUCAAAUCUUUGUGUUGAGACGGAUUUUCUUGUGCCUCAACAUUGUGCGAUAUGUUGACAUCGUUAUGCCAUCUUUUAUGAUUUUUUGCGAAGAAACAAAGAAUCAAACAGAUUAGUAGUAGAUGCAAGGAUUAACUUAAUUAUGCAACUGUCUAAGCCCUACGGUGGGCGUCAAGCUGUUUACUCGUAAAACGGUAUAGUUAAAUUUAUAGACAAGCGAAUCAAUUUAUCCUAAAAUAAUAAAUAAAUUAAAUGAAAUGCAAAAUUUAGCAUUGAAAUCGAGAUAAGACAACAAACAACUUGGUUCGGGGAACAAGGAUUCCGAAGAUGGCAAUAAGAAUAUUGAUAGACAAAAAAUAAAGUAUUAUUGAGCUUAAAAUAAUGUGUAGCACAAGUUUAUCUGAAUUUUCAUGUCUGUGAUGACCCGAUAGGUCAUCUGGUGUUUUGAAACCUAAUUAUGUGAUUCAAAGCCUUAAAAAAAUCAUGUUUAGUCCUUCCUCGACUUGCGUGCGCAGUCCGACAUCUUUCCAGAAAGCUUUUAUGUUAGAAACUGUUAAAAAUGAGAAAAUUUGCCUAAAACUUCAUUUGAGUUGACUUCAAUCAAUUUUUUGGUAAACGGACUAGUAUUCUUGUUUUGACAAUCCAGAUGGGUCCGUAUCAUGUUUUGGGACUUGGACGUAUGCCUAGAGUCGAAAUCGGAAGUCCCUAGCUUGAGAUAUCGAACUUUGUCGAAAUUUGAUAGUUACAGGCUAAAUGCAUUUGAGAUGUUCGACCAAUAUUUGACUUCUUAGUUAACGGGUCCGUAUUUUGGUUUUGGAAUCCAGUAUAGGUCCAAUACCAUAUUUAUGUCUUGUCUGUGAAAUUUGGUGAGAAACGGAGUUUGUUUAAUGUGAUUCGGACAUUCGGUCGAGAAAUUAGAAUUUUCAAAGUUUUCUUGAAAAUUUCAUUUGAUUUGGUGUUCAAUUCAUAGUUCUAGGUGUUAUUUUGGCGAUUUGAACGCGAGCGAGUUCGUAUGAUAUUUUUAGAUUUGUGUGCAUGUUUGGUUUGGAGCUCUGAGGGCCCGGGUGAGUUUCGGAUAGGCUACAGAGUGAAAAUAGGACUUAGAACAUAGCUGGUGUUGCAAUAUCUGGUGUAGGCCUCUGAUCUCGUAAAUAUGAGAUCAGGCAUCGCAAUUGCGACCUCUGCAGGUUACGCAUUUGCGGGCUAUUUCUCACAUUUGUGAAGAAUAGUUGGGCCUUAUAGUUUUUGCAUUUGUGAACACAUCUUUGCAUUUGCGAACUGGGAGGGGGGACGACAGUAAUCGCAUUUGUGAUCACAUGGCCGCAUUUGCGGAAAGGGUCAGGCUCGCAUUUGCGAGAUUUCCUUCGCAUUUGGGAUGCAAGUAGGAAUGGGGAGACCUUCUCAUUUGCGAUAGAUUCUUCACAUUUGUGGGGCUCGUAUUUGCGAACCCCAGGUCGCAAAUGCGAUAACUGCAACUGAUCAAAAUGAUUUUGGACGGAAUUUUUCUCCCAUUCUUCAAAUUUUCUAAACCUAAAACCUUAGAGGUGAUUUUUCCAAGACUCCUUCUUCCCCAAAUCGUUGGUAAGUGAUCCUAACCUAUCUCCUUUCAAUCUUUUACUAGAUUUCAUAAAUUUUCAACCUAAAAUCAAAGGUUUUCAUGGUGGAAUUGGGGAUUUUUGGGUAGAAACUGAGGAUUUCUAAAAUUGGGGAUUUAGACCUCAAAUUGAGGUCGGAUUCCAAAACCAAUUAUAUAUCCGAGCUCGGGGGUGAAUGGGUAAUCAGGUUUUGGUUCGAAUUUCGGGUUUGGACCAAGCGAGCCCAGGUGUUGACUUUUGUUGACUUUUUCAAUAAUGGCCUAAAUUGAAUCCUUUGCAAUUGUGGGUAUUUUCUAAGGCUUUAUUUGAAUUGUUUGGUUGGUAAUUGCUAGAUUCCAUUGGUUCGGAGGCGUAUUUGAGAGGAAAAGCCGUGGUUGAGCUUUGAGUUUGGCCGUUGGAGCGAUGUAAUUGUCGUGGUUAACCUUGGCUUGAGGAGUUAGGUCUUAUUUGCCUAUUUGCUUCGUGUUUGAAUGUUGCGCACAACGCAUAGGUGAAGUGACGAGUACCUAUGUGUUGUUGUCGAGUCAUAGCAUGCGAGUGAGUCUUAUUCUUGUAAUUGUUGCUUUCCUUGAUCAUAUCAUCCAUGCUUAGACUAGUUAAUCGUUAUGUUGAUCAUUCUUAUCAUUUUAUCGGACUUUGGUAAUAAUUGAGUAUUGAUUCAAAGUUGAGGUUGGUAUUGUGGAACCAAGUGUUGAGGUAAGACUUGUUCUUGUUAUUUUUAUCUCCCUGUUGUGAUUUGUUCAUUGCUUUUUUAGUAAGGGAGAGUGUUAAUGCACGAAGGGCGAUGCCGUUCCAUAUUGUAAGUGUUAAUGCACGAAAGGUAAUGUCGUGUUAUAUUGUGAGUGUUAAUGCACGAAGGGUGAUGCCGUACCAUAUUGUGAGUCUUAAUGCAUGAAGGUCCGUGCAUUUUUCUUUACUGUGUUUACUUGUUCUUAUUGGUUCAAGGCAUAUUGAUUGAUCAAGUUCUUAUUACUGAUGUGAUUCUUUAUCUUGUGAUCCCCUCAGCAUGUCCCCCUCCCAACAUUUCAUCUCUAGCUUUUACUUGCCGUUAUCUUCGUACAUAUACUGUUAAAUUGCACAGGUUUAUUUGUAGGUGUCUUGUCUUAGCAUCGUCACUACUUCACCGAGGUUAGGCUCGACACUUACCAAUAGAUGGGGUCGAUUGUACUGAUACUGCACUCUGCACUUCCUGUGCAGAUUUUGGUAUUGGUCCCAGCUGAUCGAGAAGUGUAGCAGCUCGGACUGGUUCAUCGGAGACUCAAGGUAGAUCUGUCAGUGUUCGCAGACCUUGAAGUCCCCGUCUAUCUUUCUGUUUUGACUGUUUCUUUCAUUCAAACAGUUAUAUUCCUUCCAGACUUUUAUUUCUAGUAAAUCCUAGAAGUUCGUGAAUUGUGACUCCAGAUCCGGGUGGUAGCAAAUAUUGAAGUUUUUAUAUUAUUCCGCACUCGCUGUAUUUUAUUUGAGCUUAUUUGCUGUUAUAUACUGAAUUGAAUAAGGAUUAGCUUAAUAAUUCUCUAACGUCAGCUUACCUAGCAAGUGGGAUGUUAGGCGCCAUCACGUUCCCGACAGCAGGAAUUCCAGGUCGUGACAGUGUCCUACAAUGACUGUUGAAGUCACUAGUUAUAGCUACACCUAGGGAACAAGGUCCUAGGAUCAAGCCCCAUUUAAAUGACAAUUAUAGGCUAUUGAUGAACGUAUAACGGUAGGCUAUGAAUGCCAAAAUUCUCUAUAACGGAUUAUGUAUUUAAUACUGAGGAAUAUUCUUCAUUGAAUGUCAUCGGGUGACAAAUAUUCGUUUGUCCUCGUUAGCAAUAUUCCUUUCUGGGUCUGCCCUGUGCCAACCGAAGCUGCUGUCCUCAAUCUUGUUUAUCACUUGCUUCAUCUUCCGUUUGUCUCCGAUUCCACGUGUCGCUCUAUUAUUCGAGUAUUUAAUAUGAAAUGAUGUUACCCUAUACACACACCUCCCUUAAUUUUUUGAAACUUAGCAUCUUUGAACUCAUUGUUUUUCCUUUUGGGAUCAGAAGAAUAUAAUAUAUAUGGGCACCAUUUAAGUUAGAUAUCAGCCGUUUCAAUUUAUAAUUUGCAUAUGGCAAUUAAUUUUACUAUCCACAUUAGGAAGUGGAGAAAAUUUGUGCAUUACCUUUACUUGCAGCAUUCACAAUUUAAGCUAAAAUUUUCUUGAAAAUGUAAAAUUUGAGCUAGUAACAGUAGAACAUAAAAUCAUCAACUAUUGGUAAAAUGUAAUUCAUCAUUCAUCAACCCUAAAAAGCAAAUUAAGAAAGUAACGAAUUCUGAGUACAGAACAGUAUCUUCCAAAGAUUCACAAUGCUAUAGUUAUGAUAAAAUAAAUAUAAACAAAAGAAGAACAAAAUCAACAUUUAACCCAAAAAAAAA
rnacentral:lncRNA from 1 species